UACGAAGGGGGCUAGCGUUGCUCGGAAUCACUGGGCGUAAAGCGCACGUAGGCGGCUUUUUAAGUCAGGGGUGAAAUCCUGGAGCUCAACUCCAGAACUGCCUCUGAUACUGAGGAGCUCGAGUCCGGGAGAGGUGAGUGGAACUCCGAGUGUAGAGGUGAAAUUCGUAGAUAUUCGGAAGAACACCAGUGGCGAAGGCGGCUCACUGGCCCGGUACUGACGCUGAGGUGCGAAAGCGUGGGGAGCAAACAGG
rnacentral:rRNA from 1 species